ACCAUCCUUGUCCUGGGGCCUGGGCAUGGAUUUUGCUGUCUCGUGUUCUCAGGACUGUAUGAAGUCAAGCCCAUUUGGCAAGCAUCCUGUGGAGGUAAGGCUGUCUCUCAGUGGCUCCUGAGCUGAUGUGUCCAACUACAGGUCCAGGUGGUGUCUGCCGAGUCUCCUGGUCAAAUUGCCGUCCUUCCUCUGUAGGGGAUAAUCGUCCUGGAGACACUGGGAGACCAAAUCCUGAUUCUCCUGGAACUUCUCUGAUUUUGGCAUCCAUGGGGGUCUUGUCAGCGGCAAUCAGUUCCGUGGACUUUGCCUCGUGGUGAUUUUCUGUUUCCCCCUUUCCUCUGGCAUUUAUCCAUCGAGGUUCUCCUGCAGGGAAGAGCAGUGGGUCCUUCUUCCCCGUUUGCGUGUUGACAUGGUCAGUGACGACAGCAGUGUGAGCUUGCAUGCAUUUAUUUUAUUCUACAGUUUGCAAUCA
rnacentral:lncRNA from 10 species